AUUGAACGCUGGCGGCAGGCCUAACACAUGCAAGUCGAGCGGAUGAAGGGAGCUUGCUCCUGGAUUCAGCGGCGGACGGGAGAGUAAUGCCUAGGAAUCUGCCUGGUAGUGGGGGAUAACGUCCGGAAACGGGCGCUAAUACCGCAUACGUCCUGCGGGAGAAAGUGGGGGAUCUUCGGACCUCACGCUAUCAGAUGAGCCUAGGUCGGAUUAGCUAGUUGGUGGGGUAAAGGCCUACCAAGGCGACGAUCCGUAACUGGUCUGAGAGGAUGAUCAGUCACACUGGAACUGAGACACGGUCCAGACUCCUACGGGAGGCAGCAGUGGGGAAUAUUGGACAAUGGGCGAAAGCCUGAUCCAGCCAUGCCGCGUGUGUGAGGAAGGUCUUCGGAUUGUAAAGCACUUUAAGUUGGGAGGAAGGGCAGUAAGUUAAUACCUUGCUGUUUUGACGUUACCAACAGAAUAAGCACCGGCUAACUUCGUG
rnacentral:rRNA from 1 species